ACAGCGUGGGGUUGUAGGGCUCCACCACAGUGUCUGACACCUUGGACGAGGGCACUACGCUGAAGGUGUUCAUGAUGCCGUCGGGAUACUCAUCAUGCACCUUGCUGAU
rnacentral:miRNA from 10 species